ensembl:antisense_RNA anr-7 ncRNA
UACCUUGCAUCAAACUGGAUGAACAACGCGUGAAUAUCCGGGCACGGAUCCGAAAGUUCAAAAGACGGGUCUACGAGAGAGCUGCGACUCAUUCUUUGUGGCUGCGGAAAUUAUGUGAACGAUGGAGAUGUGGAAAUCGAGUAGAAUACUGUAAACUUUUAUCCAUUAGAGAGGAGGAAUACUUUAAUUAUGAUAAUAACUUCAAUUAAUGCAAUAUUAUUUCAUACCAGGGAAUAAAUUCAUUUUUGU